UGGGGAAUAUUGCACAAUGGGCGCAAGCCUGAUGCAGCCAUGCCGCGUGUGUGAAGAAGGCCUUCGGGUUGUAAAGCACUUUCAGCGGGGAGGAAGGCGUUAAGGUUAAUAACCUUGGCGAUUGACGUUACCCGCAGAAGAAGCACCGGCUAACUCCGUGCCAGCAGCCGCGGUAAUACGGCGGGUGCAAGCGUUAAUCGGAAUUACUGGGCGUCAAGCGCACGCAGGCGGUCUGUCAAGUCGGAUGUGAAAUCCCCGGGCUCAACCGGGGAACUGCAUUCGAAACUGGCAGGAUAGAGUCUUGUGGAGGGGGGUAGAAUUGCAGGUGUUGCGGUGAAAUGCGUAAAGAUCUGGAGGAAGACCGGUGGCGAAGGCGGCCCCCUGGACAAAGGCUGACGCUCAGGUGCGAAAGCGUGGGGAGCAAACAGG
rnacentral:rRNA from 1 species